ACAGGGAAGGAAGUAGAUACGACAUGAAAAGAAGCGCAGCGGUACAGAAUGUGCCGGACCUCUGUUUUCAUCUCUUCCAGGCCCACUGUUGCAACAGUAGCAGGCUGCGGUUGCGGCUUGCUUUUCUUUUCCUCUUUUUGUGGCCUCAGUGCACGUUGUAGCCGCUGCUUGAAGACCUGCAGGAAAACAGCAAACACAAGAACUGAAAUGAGAAGAGCGCGUGCAAGAAAUUGAGCAAAAACUGAGAUGAUGACACUAAUACCCAAGUGGAAAAGUUGCCGGGGAGGUAAGCUUCACUUAUCGCUGAUCCUCUCAACCGUUCAUUGACACACUUAAGCCCGGAAGGCGGACUUCGUCUGAUGGAACGGGCAACAGAGGUGAAGGAGGAUUUUGCUUUGGAAAUGCUGAAAAGUGCCACAACCAGCACUGGAGGACCUUGAUAUAUUCACACGAUACCCCCUGAGACCAUGGUGGAGUGGUGACUGUUUAUUCCUCACUGCAGCUUCAGGCAAUGGCACCGAAGAGGUGUGGGUGCAUGGACAGGGAGGGAUGUUGAAACAAAUGUCUCUAAAGAUAGCAAAGAACGCUUUGCCCUAGCUGACAAAUGGGUGUUUCGCUUUGCUCUUCACCUCAAGUUGCCCUUCACCGUUUGAUGAGUGUGUCAGGAGACAGGCAGCGAGGUGAAAGCCGUAGCUGAAUCAUCUCCCUUUAUGCACUUGUCUACCUUUUGACUUUCUUUGUCCGCGGCCAUUCUCAUAUUCCUGUUUAAUCAAGGGACCACUGUCAUUUACACUGAAUUUCAUUUCCCAAGCUUUCCAUCACUCAUCGCUCCGGCACCUACAUUAUUUAUUUAUUUUGGGAAAACAACCUCCCCUGAAGAAAGCCUGAUACAGUCCAUCCUUUUUUAUUUGUAUUCAUCAGAGCCAAGACAUCAAAUCGCUCAUGCUGGACUGGGGCCACAUGCAGUCUAAACUUAGAUGAAAUGUCUGGAGAGAAGAAGCUUGAUAUGAUAUCCAUGUUCAACAUCUAUCAGUACAAAAUAUGGGGAAGCCUUAGGGGAUGUGAAAGAUAUACAAACACACAUGAAUAGUAAUAUUGAAGCCAAGCUGGAGUUGUGUUUUCCAUCUCAAAUCAAUAAGUGGAUUUUAGCUUUGGAUGCACGCUGGCGGACAUGUGGCCAGCAGCUGAGAGGUUCUGGGUUUGAAUCUUGGAGCUGGACCCACCUGUGUGGAGUCUGCAUGUUCUCCUUGUGGGUUUUCCUAUA